AGCGAACGUUUGCGGCGGGCCUAACACAUGCAAGUCGAACGCACUAGCAAUAGUGAGUGGCGCACGGGUGCGUAACACGUGGGUAAUCAACCCUUCAGCCUGGGAUAACGACUCGAAAGGGUCGCUAAUACCGGAUACGGCGCGAGAGGCUUCGGCUUCUCACGAGAAAGCCACGGCAAGGGGCACUGAAGGACGAGCCUGCGGCCCAUCAGCUAGUUGGUGAGGUAAGAGCUCACCAAGGCUAAGACGGGUAGCUGGUCUGAGAGGAUGAUCAGCCACACUGGAACUGAGACACGGUCCAGACUCCUACGGGAGGCAGCAGUGGGGAAUAUUGGACAAUGGGGAACCCUGAUCCAGCAAUGCCGCGUGAAUGAAGAAGGCCUUAGGGUUGUAAAGUUCUUUUGUCCGUGACGAUAAUGACGGUAGCGGACGAAUAAGCCCUGGCUAACGUCUGUGCCAGCAGCCGCGGUAAAGU
rnacentral:rRNA from 1 species